GACGAACGCUGGCGGCGUGCUUAACACAUGCAAGUCGAACGGACCCUUUGGGGUUAGUGGCGAACGGGUGAGUAACACGUGGGUGAUCUGCCCUGCACUUUGGGAUAAGCCUGGGAAACUGGGUCUAAUACCGGAUAGGACUACGCACUGCAUGGUGUGUGGUGGAAAGCUUUUGCGGUGUGGGAUGGGCCCGCGGCCUAUCAGCUUGUUGGUGGGGUGAUGGCCUACCAAGGCGACGACGGGUAGCCGGCCUGAGAGGGUGACCGGCCAAACUGGGAGUGGGAUACGGCCCAGACUCCUACGGGAGGCAGCAGUGGGGAAUAUUGCACAAUGGGCGCAAGCCUGAUGCAGCGACGCCGCGUGAGGGAUGACGGCCUUCGGGUUGUAAACCUCUUUCGCCAGGGACGAAGCGCAAGUGACGGUACCUGGAGAAGAAGGACCGGCCAACUACGUGCCAGCCGCCGCCGUAA
rnacentral:rRNA from 1 species